CGCGUAGGCGGCUUUAUAAGUCAGAUGUGAAAUCCCACGGCUCAACUGUGGAAGUGCAUUUGAAACUGUGAGGCUUGAGUAUCGGAGGGGAGUGUGGAAUUCCCGGUGUAGAGGUGAAAUUCGUAGAGAUCGGGAGGAACAUCGGUGGCGAAGGCGACACUCUGGACGAAUACUGACGCUGAGGCGCGAAAGCGUGGGGAGCAAACA
rnacentral:rRNA from 1 species